UACGGAGGGUGCAAGCGUUAUCCGGAAUCAUUGGGUUUAAAGGGUCCGCAGGCGGAUGUAUAAGUCAGUGGUGAAAUCUCUCGGCUCAACCGAGAAACUGCCAUUGAUACUGUACGUCUUGAAUUCGGUCGAAGUGGGCGGAAUAUGACAUGUAGCGGUGAAAUGCUUAGAUAUGUCAUAGAACACCGAUAGCGAAGGCAGCUCACUAGGCCUGGAUUGACGCUCAGGGACGAAAGCGUGGGGAGCAAACAGGAUUAGAUACCCUGGUAGUCCACGCCGUAAACUAUCAAUACUCGAUAUUAGCGAUAUACCGUUAGUGUCUAAGCGAAAGUGAUAAGUAUUGCACCUGGGGAGUACGAUCGCAAGGUUG
rnacentral:rRNA from 1 species